AGAGUUUGAUCCUGGCUCAGGACGAACGCUGGCGGCGUGCCUAAUACAUGCAAGUAGAACGCUGAAGAGAGGAGCUUGCUCUUCUUGGAUGAGUUGCGAACGGGUGAGUAACGCGUAGGUAACCUGCCUUGUAGCGGGGGAUAACUAUUGGAAACGAUAGCUAAUACCGCAUAACAAUGGAUGACACAUGUCAUUUAUUUGAAAGGGGCAACUGCUCCACUACAAGAUGGACCUGCGUUGUAUUAGCUAGUAGGUGAGGUAACGGCUCACCUAGGCGACGAUACAUAGCCGACCUGAGAGGGUGAUCGGCCACACUGGGACUGAGACACGGCCCAGACUCCUACGGGAGGCAGCAGUAGGGAAUCUUCGGCAAUGGGGGCAACCCUGACCGAGCAACGCCGCGUGAGUGAAGAAGGUUUUCGGAUCGUAAAGCUCUGUUGUAAGUCAAGAACGAGUGUGAGAGUGGAAAGUUCACACUGUGACGGUAGCUUACCAGAAAGGGACGGCUAACUACGUGCCAGCAGCCGCGGUAAUACGUAGGUCCCGAGCGUUGUCCGGAUUUAUUGGGCGUAAAGCGAGCGCAGGCGGUUUGAUAAGUCUGAAGUUAAAGGCUGUGGCUCAACCAUAGUUCGCUUUGGAAACUGUCAAACUUGAGUGCAGAAGGGGAGAGUGGAAUUCCAUGUGUAGCGGUGAAAUGCGUAGAUAUAUGGAGGAACACCGGUGGCGAAAGCGGCUCUCUGGUCUGUAACUGACGCUGAGGCUCGAAAGCGUGGGGAGCGAACAGGAUUAGAUACCCUGGUAGUCCACGCCGUAAACGAUGAGUGCUAGGUGUUGGAUCCUUUCCGGGAUUCAGUGCCGCAGCUAACGCAUUAAGCACUCCGCCUGGGGAGUACGACCGCAAGGUUGAAACUCAAAGGAAUUGACGGGGGCCCGCAC
rnacentral:rRNA from 1 species